AACUCCAGUCUGGCACGGCAAAAUCGCUGACAUCCCGAGGGCCCAUCGGAGAAAUGUCGAGUUGAGAAAUAGUCUGUGUGGAUCCCACGUGGACGCUCACGCAAACAUCCACUGCUGCUUAGACAGCACAGCCUGCACGCUGCAGCUCAGCUCCAGAGAAUCCAAGCAAGGAACAUCGUGUCGCAUUUUUUACCUGCCAGACUGGAAAGACCCUGUGAUGUCUCCCACAGUCUCAUUUUACAGCCAGCACUUAUGGAACAGGGAAAUGAAAACACAGAGUCUGAGAAAUAUAACCAGUUACCUUGUGAAUGGACUUAAUCAUAAUCCUCUCUAACUCCACCAACCACUUCUCCACCUGGCCCCUGGCUUUCGCUGUGGAAAUGGUAUCCACGAGCUCCACGACUUCUCCUUCGCUACUCUUCAUAUGUGUAAUAUCCAAAGUCUCUGUGAAUUCGACCUUUGCGAUUCCUUCAAAGCACUUCUUGAGAUGAAUGCAGCCAAGAUGAAUGGGCGUUACUUACCGGGUGGGAUCCUUGGUCUCAGACAGUAUCUCAAGGAGCUCAUCAUUCGACAAGAAGAAGAACCUGGGGAAGAAGAGGCGCUUCUUUUCCAAGUACUCAUUCAGCCCUUUAAGAAUGAGCUCCAAGAGUUCAUUAGACUUUUUCAGCCUCUCCAGCAUUCUCUCGAUAGUCACCACGGCCAGGACAUGCUUAUUCUAAAAACAACUGUUCUGUCUCACCAACAGACUACAGACGUGCGCAUGACUUGCCUAUGCACUGGGAAGCUAAAAACGCCAUGAUCCCUUCAAAAACAUGAAAAUAUAAGUGGGACUUGUUGAGAAGACAAAAGGCAUCAACAGAAAUGGGAAGGGCAUGAGAGGUUAAUGAAAAAUACAACCAAAGCACAUUAUAAUAUGUAUUAAGAUCUUAUAAUAAAAUUCAUUAUAUAUAAUUAAUUAAUAUGUGCUAAUACAA